CCUACGGGCGGCUGCAGUGGGGAAUAUUGCACAAUGGGCGCAAGCCUGAUGCAGCCAUGCCGCGUGUGUGAAGAAGGCCUUCGGGUUGUAAAGCACUUUCAGCGGGGAGGAAGGCGUUAAGGUUAAUAACCUUGUCGAUUGACGUUACCCGCAGAAGAAGCACCGGCUAACUCCGUGCCAGCAGCCGCGGUAAUACGGAGGGUGCAAGCGUUAAUCGGAAUUACUGGGCGUAAAGCGCACGCAGGCGGUCUGUCAAGUCGGAUGUGAAAUCCCCGGGCUCAACCUGGGAACUGCAUUCGAAACUGGCAGGCUAGAGUCUUGUAGAGGGGGUUAGAAUUCCAGGUGUAGCGGUGAAAUGCGUAGAGAUCUGGAGGAAUACCGGUGGCGAAGGCGGCCCCCUGGACAAAGACUGACGCUUAGGUGCGAAAGCGUGGGGAGCAAACAGGAUUAGAUACCCUAGUAGUC
rnacentral:rRNA from 1 species